rnacentral:lncRNA from 1 species
AUGAUUGAAAACGAUAGUUGGUCUGUGACUUUUGAGGAGAGGGAGAACCGGAGACUACAGGAGGCCAGCAUGAGGUUGGAACAAGAGAAUGAUGACCUUGCUCAUGAACUAGUAACCAGCAAGAUUGCUCUGCGGAAUGACUUGGAUCAAGCAGAAGACAAGGCAGACGUGCUGAAUAAAGAGCUUCUUUUGACCAAGCAGAGGCUAGUGGAGACCGAAGAAGAGAAGAGGAAGCAGGAGGAAGAGACGGCCCAGCUAAAAGAAGUCUUCAGGAAACAGCUAGAGAAGGCGGAAUAUGAAAUCAAGAAGACUACAGCUAUCAUUGCCGAGUAUAAACAGAUCUGUUCCCAGUUGAGUACCCGGCUGGAGAAACAGCAAGCAGCCAGCAAGGAGGAGCUGGAAGUGGUAAAGGGUAAGAUGAUGGCAUGUAAACACUGCAGUGACAUUUUCAGCAAGGAGGGCGCUUUGAAAGUAGCGGCCAUAAGCAGAGAGGACCAGGGGAUUGAAUCGGAUGAUGAGAAGGACUCUCUUAAGAAGCAACUGAGGGAGAUGGAGCUGGAAUUGGCACAAACCAAACUGCAGCUGGUGGAGGCCAAGUGUAAAAUCCAGGAACUUGAACAUCAGAGAGGAGCCCUUAUGAAUGAAAUCCAAGCUGCAAAAAACUCUUGGUUUAGCAAAACCCUGAACUCUAUCAAAACGGCCACGGGCACGCAGCCGCUGCAGCCACCACAGGCCACCCAGCCCCCCAAGGAGAGCACAUAGUUCCAGCCUCACCCAAGCACAGGAGCACAACGAUCAAAGCGACGGAAACCCAGGAAGAGUCCUGGUGUCCCUUUGAAAGGAAGGGAAGGAGGCCAGAAAGCAAGCCAGGAUCUUUCAGUAGCUCUCAAUCUUUCUCGUAUGACGCUUUUCAAAGGGAUGUUAUUUAAACUAACCUGAUUUAUGUUGAAUACCUGUGUUUGUGCUUCAUGGAAGGCCGUGUUCCGAUCCGUCAUAGUAUUAUUACACAUUAUUUUAUAUGCCUGAUGUCUGGUUGGAAACAAGUAAUUCAGAGCUAAAUGCUUUUUAUUUAGAACUAAUUAUUCAUAAUUAUUUUUAUCUUACAUGAAAAUGGAGAUGUGUUUUAUUCCAAGGUUGAAUUGAUAGGAAGAUAUUUGUCACAGCAAA